GGGCCUUUCUCGACCAGCGGCACCACCUUCUUCGCCUCUCAUUUUUGUUGAAAACCGCAAAAAGAAGAAGCUUUAAGCAUAAUUUCUUCUCAAUACCAUCCAUCUCUCUUUAUUUCCAGUAGAGAUGAAAAAUCUUAUCUCUUUCAACAAUUCUGAUCUAUGUAUAGGAAGAUCCCAUCUCUCUCUUCUCAUGGUUCUUUUCUCUUAGCAAAACCCGGGUAAUCGAGCUUUAAAGACCUCUCUCUUUUAUCUCAAUUAGAAACUCGUGAGCCUCUGGAAUUUUUCUCUCGGGAAAAAUCACGGCCCUGAGUUAGCUGAUUGGGUUUUUUAUGGUGGUCCCAAAAAUUCAAAAAACGUGAUUUCUUACAAGAAUCUCAAGCUAGUCAUCCACAUGGUGUGAAGCCUUCGUAUUUGAUGCCUCAAUAGUCGACCCUCGAGGUAGUUUAUUCAAGUUGCGGCAUGAAGAUUUCGAAGAGAUCGGAAAUCUUGGACAUCGCGAUAAUAUUAUGCAAGUUUAUAAAGAAUUCCGCUGACCAGGAUUCUGCAGAUUCUCCUACAAGAUCGAGAUUGUCGAAAGUAUGCAAGAGGGUUUCUCUGAGCCACUUUCCAUUCAAGCGUUGCUCCAGAGAUUUGGACGAUUAAUUAUCAAUGUGCUAUAUGAUGGCUAUCAGACUGAUAAUCCUACAAUUGAAGGUACGAAAUUUCUUGGAUUGGUUGUUGAAAGCAUCAAAGCUAGAAGGUUGGCAUGUGAACAACUAUCUUAUUACGCUCAGGUACACAUGUCUUAUUAUCUACAUAGAAUGAUGUCCAUGAAUUCUUAUUUAACUUUUUUGAAGCGGUAAUUGAUGCUGCUUCCAUCAUGUCGUAAGUGAAGAUGUUUUGUUUCUCCCCAGUAUGAUCCCUAUAUAUGGUUUGGAUUGUUAACUUGGGUUCUUUGUAGAAUAAUUAAGCAGCGAUACUUUGAAUAGGAUACGGUCAAUAUGAGUACUUAGAAGUUAUAUAUUGGAAUGUUCAAAUAAUUCUCAACCCUUUGCUUUAUUUUUCAUGUGUGUUGGCUGUGGGUCUUUUUCUUGUGUGCUGAUCUGGCUCACUCCUGCCUGUUCUCAAGUAAUUUGACUGAAGAACAUCGAAAGAAACAUCUCUUGUUCAUCAGAUGGAAGUACUAAAAACCAAGUGACGGAUGUCCUAGACAUACAUAUUAUCGGCCUCUACAACUAUCCAUAGUUGAGGAUAAAUUCAGUAAUGUUGAACUACUUUCAGCAGAAAUCUCCAGCCCAAGAAACGUUAAAGCUGCUCAGGAAAACACUAAUAGUGCAACAAAAAUCACAAGGUAUAAUCAUCUUUUGAAUAAGAGUGUUGAGUCUCACUUAGAACCACUAUGCAAGAGUAUGUAGGGUCGUGAGCUUUGAAAGUUGAUGCUAAUUACUUGUAUAUUGUUAGCAUUUUGUAAAAGCCAUUUGUACAAGUGCGGCUGUAGAAAUAUUUUUAUUGAAUCAAUAUAUUCCUCUAUUUUGGCA